GAUCAUGGCUCAGGAUGAACGCUAGCUACAGGCUUAACACAUGCAAGUCGAGGGGCGAGCAUGAACUUAGCUUGUCUAAGUUUGAUGGCGACCGGCGCACGGGUGAGUAACACGUAUCCAACCUGCCGUCUACUCUUGGACAGCCUUCUGAAAGGAGAUUAAUACAAGAUGGCAUCAUGAGUCCGCAUGUUCACAUGAUUAAAGGUAUUCCGGUAGACGAUGGGGA
rnacentral:rRNA from 1 species